rnacentral:lncRNA from 1 species
UUUUUUUUUUUUUUUUUUUUAUAGUCAAAUUGAUCUCAGUAUUUCAAUCAUGUAACACUCCAGUAAUUUCACAUAAGAUAAAAAAAAAUUAUAAUUAAAUAUAUAAAAAUCAUAUAUUUUAAUAUUAAUAAGCGAUUUUAAAUAUUUUGAACGGCUAGUUUGAGCCUAUUGAAUUAUUAGUGCUAAGAGAUUCUGUCCGUCCAAAAUAUAAAUUAAGUCUUUAUAAUACUUUGCGAUCUUGAGCUAGAAAAAAAGAUCUGACGAGUCUGUGAUACUCUGGCAAUCCCAUGUCGGAUCGAAAAAAGAAAAAAAUUAUUGGAAAUAUAACGAUAAGAGAUUCUAGUAUAAAUAACUGGACUUAAAUAUUUUAAACCGAGAGUUUGGCCUAUUGAGUUAAUUUGGUAUUUCGAGCUGUUAGUGUUAAAAGACUGAAUCGUUACAAACUAUCACAUUCAAAAUCUAGUUAUUUCAUAUAAUACUACACGAGAAAGUCACAAUUUUGUGACUUUUCACAUUCUUAAUCUUAUUUAAUUUUCUUUAUCAGUACUAAAUAUGAAUAA